UACGUAGGGGGCAAGCGUUGUCCGGAAUCAUUGGGCGUAAAGCGCGUGUAGGCGGUCCGGUAAGUCCGCUGUGAAAGUCGGGGGCUCAACCCUCGGAUGCCGGUGGAUACUGUCGGGCUCGAGUCCGGAAGAGGAGUGUGGAAUUACCGGUGUAGCGGUGAAAUGCGUAGAUAUCGGGAGGAACACCAGUGGCGAAGGCGGCGAUCUGGGUAGAUACUGACGCUGAGGUGCGAAAGCGUGGGGAGCAAACAGG
rnacentral:rRNA from 1 species